rnacentral:misc_RNA from 1 species
GAUGAAGAACGUAGCGAAAUGCGAUACGUAAUGUGAAUUGCAGAAUUCAGUGAAUCAUCGAGUCUUUGAACGCACAUUGCGCCCCCUGGUAUUCCGGGGGGCAUGCCUGUCCGAGCGUCAUUGCUGCCCUCAAGCACGGCUUGUGUGUUGGGCCUCCGUCCUCCUCCCGGGGGACGGGCCCGAAAGGCAGCGGCGGCACCGCGUCCGGUCCUCGAGCGUAUGGGGCUUCGUCACCCGCUCUUGUAGGCCCGGCCGGCGCUUGCCGACACAUCAAUCUUUUUUCCAGGUUGACCUCGGAUCAGGUAGUGAUACCCGCUGAACUUAAGCAUAUCAAUAAGCGGAGGA